GAAAGCAUUAUCAACUAGGAGUUUAAACUAAGUAGAAGUGAAGCAGUAGUAUCUUAACCAAGUAGGAGUAUAAAAACAUGGGAGAAAACUUUGAUGAAAAACUUGGGAAAACCUUUGUACUUGAGAAAAUCACGUCUUGGUAUUCUUUUGUAAAAUAAGUUUUAAAUGAAACUUUGAUAAAACAUUUUAAGUACAGAAAACCUUUGUUUAUAAUGCGGCUGUAAGGGAAUUUGAAAUAAAACAUGCAGCGCAAGAAACAAUUUGAGAAGAGCUUUGAACAAGUGAAAACGUUUUAGUAAAACCAUUUACAGUAUCAUUCUUGGUAAAACAUUUGACAGUGUAACAAAUCCUUGUGCAUGCGGGUUAUCAAUCACGUGUGAUUGAUAUGAUAACUGGCAUGUUUAACUUGUAUUCCCCCCCCCCCCCCCCCAUAAAACAUGUAAAAAAUUUUAAAAGAUUCAUUCAGGGGUAUGAACUCACCUGUUGUAAGUGGAUCGAACGAAUGUGCCAGUUUGGUGCUCGGUGUCAAGUAAAGACUUGACCACACUUAGUGACCUAUUAACAUAUGACGACAUAUGUUUACAUACAAUUAGUUCAUAUAAUACUAAUUAAACAUGUACACGCAUCCUAAAGUGCGGAAAACACUUUGGUUAAGUGCUUGGGGUGUCCCGGGUAACAUCUAAGGGUGUGUAUGGCUUAGAUAGGGAGUUUACAUUCCAAGAGUAAACUCUUUAUAGAGUUCACGGCCCUGGGACUAACUCCCCAUGAGUUUACGGCCGUAAACUCAUGGUGAGGGUGUUCUAGGAUGCCAAAAUGUCUUAUAUCACUUGUGGAAUUUUGCUAGGUCCCAAUAUAAGGCACAUGAGUGGAUUUAAGGCAUCNUUUAACUUGUAUUCACCCCCCCCCCAUAAAACAUGUAAAAAAUUUUAAAAGAUUCAUUCAGGGGUAUGAACUCACCUGUUGUAAGUGGAUCGAACGAAUGUGCCAGUUUGGUGCUCGGUGUCAAGUAAAGACUUGACCAC
rnacentral:lncRNA from 1 species